CAGCAGCCACGGGAAUGCGUAGGUGGCGAGCGUUGUCCGGAAUUAUUGGGCGUAAAGGGAGCGCAGGCGGACAUAUAAGUCCAUCUUAAAAGUGCGGGGCUCAACCCCGUGAGGGGAUGGAAACUGUAUGCCUUGAGUGCAGGAGAGGAAAGCGGAAUUCCCAGUGUAGCGGUGAAAUGCGUAGAUAUUGGGAGGAACACCAGUGGCGAAGGCGGCUUUCUGGACUGUAACUGACGCUGAGGCUCGAAAGCCAGGGGAGCGAACGGGAUUAGAUACCCGUGUAGUCCCUGUCUCUUAUACA
rnacentral:rRNA from 1 species